rnacentral:rRNA from 1 species
AUUGAACGCUGGCGGCAGGCCUAACACAUGCAAGUCGAACGGUAACAGGAAGAAGCUUGCUUCUUUGCUGACGAGUGGCGGACGGGUGAGUAAUGUCUGGGAAACUGCCUGAUGGAGGGGGAUAACUACUGGAAACGGUAGCUAAUACCGCAUAACGUCGCAAGACCAAAGAGGGGGACCUUCGUGCCUCUUGCCAUCGGAUGUGCCCAGAUGGGAUUAGCUAGUAGGUGGGGUAACGGCUCACCUAGGCGACGAUCCCUAGCUGGUCUGAGAGGAUGACCAGCCACACUGGAACUGAGACACGGUCCAGACUCCUACGGGAGGCAGCAGUGGGGAAUAUUGCACAAUGGGCGCAAGCCUGAUGCAGCCAUGCCGCGUGUAUGAAGAAGGCCUUCGGGUUGUAAAGUACUUUCAGCGGGGAGGAAGGGAGUAAAGUUAAUACCUUUACUCAUUGACGUUACCCGCAGAAGAAGCACCGGCUAACUCCGUG